GAUGAUGAUGGGAAUGACGAUGAUUAUGACGGUAGGCAGAUAUUUCGCCAUUGCAGUAAAUAGAUAAGGCAAAUUAGUUGAGUUUUGCAAAGGCGCGUUAUUUUAUUGAAAUUGUAGUGAAUUCGGGGCGAGAACACUUCCAAAAAUCGGUUGUAAUUAUUAGCAAUACGCUGUGGCCAAUCCGAUCCGUGACAGAUACCUGGGAAUCACCGGUAAUAGGAAUAGGAAAGGUGUCCACAUUCCGGCGACAUUCGCUAUUCACACUCAAUCAAGUUAGGGUAACUGCACCCAUUAUCAUCCCAAGAUAGAAUUGGAAACCACUUCUUGUGAGUAUUUGUACUAGAAUAGAUUAAGAAUGUUAAUUAAAUGAUUAAAUAAAUUGCAGUUUUAAGCGUUGCUACAAAAUCUGAGCCGCUCUAAUAAUUUUGGUUUCCCUUCGGGAACAUUCUUAAAAAAGAAGUGACACCCGCGAAGUGAUUCCCGCGUAGUGAAAAGUGUCAAGUGAGGAGUGAAAACCUGCAGCAAGAUGGCUUCCGAUGCAGAAUCCACCCACGAUCAAACCAUCAUGGACCUGACGGCGACUCCGUGCGCCAUCUGUGGCCCGUCUACGCGCGACGAAGUGAUGGUCGGCUGUGACGGAUGCGCGGGAUGGUUCCACAUCCGUUGCGUGGGCAUUGAG